CAGGUACUCCGUUCGAAAAUACUUAUCAUCAAAAUAGAUAAAAAAAAUGUAUCUAGAACUAAUAUACAUCUAGAUACAUUCCAUUUUAUUCAUUUUGAUGACAAGUAUUUCCGGACGGAGGAAGUAGAAG
rfam:Triticum aestivum genome assembly, contig: Triticum_aestivum_CS42_TGACv1_scaffold_291478_4AL